rnacentral:rRNA from 2 species
AAAAAAUUUUACAGGCGGAUGGUGGAUGCCUUGGAAGAUUGAGGCGACGAAGGACGUGGCGUGCCUGCGAUAAGCCUCGGGGAGGUGGCUAGCAACCUUUGAUCCGGGGAUUUCCGAAUGGGGAAACCUAUCUUGAUGAUAAAUCGAGAUGCCCGGCCGUAAAAGGCAUUGGGAGCAAACCUGGGGAAGUGAAACAUCUCAGUACCCAGAGGAAAAGAAAAAUAAUUUUUAUUCCCUUAGUAGCGGCGAGCGAAAAGGGAAGAGCCUAAACCAAGAUUUUUAUCUUGGGGUCGUAAGAAGAUAACGUCGGGAGCAUUCCGAUUCUUUGAAUCGGAAUACUUCUGAGGGAGAGCAUUUAGGCGAAGGUUGGUUAGAAGAAUCUCUUUGGAAAGAGAAGCCAAAGAAGGUAAAAGCCCUGUAUUCGAAAACUCCUUCGUGCUCCUUGUUAUUUCUCUUGAGUACUUCGGGAAAUGAAAGUCCUGAGGGAAACAAGCUGGACUAACCGGCUAAGGCUAAAUACUCAAUCUUACCGAUAGUGAACCAGUACCGUGAGGGAAAGGUGAAAAGUAGGGAGGUAAUCCCGGUGAAAUAGAACCUGAAACCAUCGCGCUUACAAAGAGUCGGAGCCGAGCACAUAAUUUAUUAUGUGCUUCGGUGACGGCGUGCUUUUUGCAGAACGAGCCAACGAGUUCUUUCACUUUCUUUGUCUAAUCCCGUUUCGGGAAGAGGCAUAGUGAAAGCGAGCGUUAAACGCGCGACUAAAAAAGAGAGUGAAAGAGACCCGAAGCCAAGCGAGCUUGCCAUGGCCAGGGUGAACCCUGACGAAAGUCGGGGGGAGGCCCGAACCCGUGAGCCGUUCAACACUCUGGGAUGAGCUGUGGUAAGAAGUGAAAAGCUAAUCGAGCUUGGUAAUAGCUGG